UACAGAGGUCCCGAGCGUUGUUCGGAUUCAUUGGGCGUAAAGGGUGCGUAGGCGGCUUCCUAAGUUUGAUGUGAAAUCCUGGGGCUCAACCCUGGAACUGCAUUGAAUACUGGGAGGCUAGAGUACUGGAGAGGAGAGUGGAAUUCCUGGUGUAGCGGUGGAAUGCGCAGAUAUCAGGAAGAACACCCGUGGCGAAGGCGGCUCUCUGGAACGCAACUGACGCUGAGACGCGAAAGCGUGGGGAGCAAACAGG
rnacentral:rRNA from 1 species